rnacentral:rRNA from 1 species
GAGUUUGAUCGUGGCUCAGGAUGAACGCUGGCGGCGUGCUUAACACAUGCAAGUCGAGCGAAGCACUUUACUUUGAUUUCUUCGGAUUGAAGAGUGUUGUGACUGAGCGGCGGACGGGUGAGUAACGCGUGGGUAACCUGCCUCAUACAGGGGGAUAACAGUUAGAAAUGGCUGCUAAUACCGCAUAAGACCACGGUACCGCAUGGUACAGAGGUAAAAACUCCGGUGGUAUGAGAUGGACCCCGCGU